AUGGACCGUUUGGGUUCCGGAAUUCUCUUGGAUCCAACAACUGGUACCGGGCCUAGGAAAGCCGGCGGAGUCCGUUUUUGGCGAAGGCUGGGGGGUGGUCAAGAUGGGAGAGAAAUCAUCUUCCUUCACCUAGGAGGGAGGCAGGGCGGAGACGGGCACCGAGGAGCGGGUGGGGAGGAGGAAAGAAGUCACGUGAGGGCGCGGCGCGCGCUGCGUGUGCGCGGCGCCUCGUCCGUCGCCCCUCCCCCAGCCCCUCCCGGCGGGGAAGGGGGGCUGGGGGAGGGGCGUCAAGAUGGCGGCGGGGAGGUAGGCAGAGCUGGACGCCGCUGCUGCCGCCGCCGCCGCCACCGCCGCCUCCGCUCCAGUCGCCUCUGGUCCUUCAAACUCGCACCUCCCGGGAGGAGCUGUCUUGGCGCCGGGUUCCGCGGGGAAAGUAAGUCCUUCCGUUGGCCCUUUUCUCCUUCCACACUCCCCCCUCCCGGACAGCCUCCCACUCCCACCCUCCUAGGGGGGCCGUGUGGGGCCAGGCUUGGGGGGGGCAGCCACCUAGCCCCGGCUUGGGGCCUCCCUUCCUGCUCUGUCCCCCGCGGCCUCGCGCUCCCGGGCCCUCGGGGGCAUGGUACCGGCGGCGGCGUCGCCGCUGCACCCGCUUCCUCCGCCCGUCAGAGCCGGGCCCUGCUGUCGUCGCUCGUGGGGCUUUUGGGCUCCUGGAGCCUCGCUGUCCCGGGCCGGAGGCACCCCCUCUUGGACCGCGGGGCAGAGUCCGUGCUCGUUGGGUUCGCCCCGUUGGCUUUUGCCUCACAACCCGGGGCUGCGGGUCCCGGACCCGCGGGGAAAGUAUGGUCUGGAUCCUUCCCAAGUCCUCUCUCCUGCCCCAGCUUUGCUCCUGGGUGUGGGCGAGGGAGGGAGGCAAGCAACUGGGUCGUCCUUCCUAAAUCUGAAUCCCAUAUCGGCAGUUCCGUGCACGCCCCACUCUUGAGGCGGUGGGGAGUCCGCGGGGCGCGGGGGACACGUGCAGGCUUCCUUCACGCCUCUCCGGGCGACUCGCGUAGUUCUGCCUCGGCGUCACCUCCCAGACCCUAA
rnacentral:lncRNA from 1 species